rnacentral:rRNA from 1 species
GACGUAGGGCGCGAGCGUUGUCCGGAUUUAUUGGGCGUAAAGAGCUCGUAGGCGGCUCGUUGCGUCGGCUGUGAAAACCCGCAGCUCAACUGUGGGCUUGCAGCCGAUACGGGCGGGCUAGGAUUCGGUAGGGGAGACUGGAAUUCCUGGUGUAGCGGUGAAAUGCGCAGAUAUCAGGGAGGAACACCGGUGGCGGAAGGCGGGUCUCUGGGCCGAUAUCGAACGUGGAGGAAGCGGAAAGCGUGGGGAGCGAACAGG